rnacentral:rRNA from 1 species
GACGAACGCUGGCGGCGUGCUUAACACAUGCAAGUCGAACGGAAAGGCCUGCUUUCCCUUGUGGAUUGCAGGUACUCGAGUGGCGAACGGGUGAGUAACACGUGAGUGAUCUGCCCCCAACUUGGGUAUAAGCCUGGGAAACUGGGUCUAAUUCCCGAUAGGACUGCAGGGUGGUGCCUGUGGUGGAAAACGAUUUUCUAGUGGUUGGGGAUGAGCUCGCGGCCUAUCAGCUUGUUGGUGGGGUAAUGGCCUACCAAGGCGGCGACGGGUAGCCGGCCUGAGAGGGUGGACGGCCACAUUGGGACUGGGAUACGGCCCAGACUCCUACGGGAGGCAGCAGUGGGGAAUAGUGCACAAUGGGCGGAAGCCUGAUGCAGCGACGCCGCGUGGGGGAUGACGGCCUUCGGGUUGUAAACUCCUUUCGACCGCGAGGAAGCCACCUGGUUGGAAGGGUGGUGACGGUAGUGGUAGAAGAAGCACCGGCUAACUACGUG